rnacentral:lncRNA from 1 species
AACAACAGACAGAGGAAAGAACAGACAACACCAACAGACAGAGGAAAGAACAGACAACAUCAAAAUACAAAGGAAAGAACUGACAACAACAAAAGACAAAACUGACAACACCACAAAAUAGAGGAAAGAACAGACAACACCAACAGACAGAGGAAAGAACAGAGAACACCAAAAGACAAAGGAAAGAACAAACAACACCAAUGCUAAACAAAUUAGUUACUAGUAAAUGAUGUUUGAAAGUCACAAUUGUCUUCGUUCCCGUCUCUCAAGUUUUUGUCAAAGGGACGUCUGCGUUUUUGAGCUGCUGUAAAAUCUAUCAUUUUUUUCAAAACUGUCUUCAUCGAAUUAUCUAAUGAUGUGCAUGUGAAGUUUUUUUACGA